ACGAACGCUGGCGGCAUGCCUAACACAUGCAAGUCGAACGAGACCUUCGGGUCUAGUGGCGCACGGGUGCGUAACGCGUGGGAACCUGCCCUUAGGUUCGGAAUAACUCCCCGAAAGGGGUGCUAAUACCGGAUAAUGUCUUCGGACCAAAGAUUUAUCGCCUUUGGAUGGGCCCGCGUUGGAUUAGCUAGUUGGUAGGGUAAAAGCCUACCAAGGCGACGAUCCAUAGCUGGUCUGAGAGGAUGAUCAGCCACACUGGGACUGAGACACGGCCCAGACUCCUACGGGAGGCAGCAGUGGGGAAUAUUGGACAAUGGGCGAAAGCCUGAUCCAGCAAUGCCGCGUGAGUGAUGAAGGCCUUAGGGUUGUAAAGCCCUUUUACCCGGGAUGAUAAUGACAGUACCGGGAGAAUAAGCUCCGGCUAACUCCGUG
rnacentral:rRNA from 1 species